rnacentral:lncRNA from 1 species
CAAGACAAAGGAAUUGUGGACAAGAUUAAGGAAAAGAUUCCUGGUACUGGAACUGGAACAGGAACAGGGUAUGGAACAGGACAUGGAACAACCGGUUAUGGAAGUGCUGGUGGAGCUGGAUAUGGUGGAACUGGAAGCACUGAGUAUGGUCAUCAUGGAACUCAACAAGACAAAGGAAUUGUGGACAAGAUUAAGGAAAAGAUUCCUGGUACUGGAACAGGAACAGGGUAUGGAACAGGACAUGGAACAACUGGUUAUGGAAGUGGUGGUGGAGCUGGAUAUGGUGGAACUGGAAGCACUGAGUAUGGUCAUCAACAACAUGGAGAGAAAGGGAUGGUUGAUAAGAUUAAGGAGAAGAUUCCUGGUACUGGAACAGGAACAACAACAGGACAUGGAACAGGAACAGGUUAUGGAACAACAGGGCAUGGAACAGGGACAACUGGUUAUGGAACAACAACUGGUCAUGAUCAUCAUGGAGAUCAGCAACAACAUGG